rnacentral:misc_RNA from 1 species
GAUGAAGAACGUAGCGAAAUGCGAUAAGUAAUGUGAAUUGCAGAAUUCAGUGAAUCAUCGAAUCUUUGAACGCACAUUGCGCCCGCCAGUAUUCUGGCGGGCAUGCCUGUUCGAGCGUCAUUUCAACCAUCAAGCCCCCGGGCUUGUGUUGGGGACCUGCGGCUGCCGCAGGCCCUGAAAAGCAGUGGCGGGCUCGCUGUCACACCGAGCGUAGUAAUACAUCUCGCUCAGGGCGUGCUGCGGGUUCCGGCCGUUAAAAAGCCUUAUUUACCCAAGGUUGACCUCGGAUCAGGUAGGAAGACCCGCUGAACUUAAGCAUAUCAAUAAGCGGAGGA